GCCGAGGUGGUGAAAUUGGUAGACGCGCUGGAUUCAAAAUCCAGUAGGGGCGACCCUGUGGGGGUUCGAUUCCCCCCCCCGGCACCA
rnacentral:tRNA from 1 species